ensembl:lncRNA
GAUCGUUUCUAAAUAUGCCUUUUAAUUUUUCUGACGGUUUAGUUUAUGUUAUAAUGAUCUCUGGCCUUCAACUGUCCUUCAGCGAACAUCCUCCGUGGUUUAUGUUCCGCUCUGGAUCACAGUUGUGGUGUGUUUCUCGUUUUGAGAGCUUCCUGGCUGCAGUGUGGCACCUCGUCGAGCCGCUGACUCACCUGAAUGUGGCUCAGGUAUCCAUGGAUGCGAGAGACCGGCGCCAGCAGCAGUGGUUUAGUCUGUUGAACUCCAUCGAGAGGAAGGAUGCCAGGGUGGUCGUGUAUCCGAGGUACAUAUCCGAAAACGCUGUCUGGACGAGUCAAAGCAGUCGCGGCUCACCUGUGCCUUCGCUCAGCCCCGCUUUCAGGCCCUGCAGGAAACAGUGCAGGAGCAGCUUCCCUCUGGACAGAGCGGACCGCCGCCCACAGGCUGCUCCUGCUGGCUCGCUGCAGUGCGCCACGGUGGACGGACGGGAGGACGUCUGAACAGCGGUUGUUUGCUGUCCGC